rnacentral:rRNA from 1 species
AACUAACGCUGGCGGCGUGCCUAACACAUGCAAGUCGUACGAGAAAGUCGGCUUCGGCCGAUGAGUAAAGUGGCGCACGGGUGAGUAAUGCGUGGAUAAUCUGCCCUUGAGUUCGGAAUAACGUACCGAAAGGUGCGCUAAUACCGGAUAAUACUGCACAACUACUGUUGUGUAGUCAAAGAUGGCCUCUGUUUACAAGCUUUUGCUGAAGGAUGAGUCCGCGUACCAUUAGCUAGUUGGUGGGGUAAUGGCCUACCAAGGCGACGAUGGUUAGCUGGUCUGAGAGGAUGAUCAGCCACACUGGAACUGAGACACGGUCCAGACUCCUACGGGAGGCAGCAGUGAGGAAUAUUGCGCAAUGGGGGCAACCCUGACGCAGCAACGCCGCGUGAGUGAGGAAGGUUUUCGGACCGUAAAGCUCUGUCGAGCGGGAAGAAAUGCAUGGUGGCUAAUAUCCAUCAUGCUUGACGGUACCGCUAGAGGAAGCACCGGCUAACUCCGUGCCAGCAGCCGCGGUAAUACGGGGGGUGCAAGCGUUGUUCGGAAUUAUUGGGCGUAAAGAGCGUGUAGGCGGCUGAAUAAGUCAGAUGUGAAAUCCCUGGGCUUAACCCAGGACGUGCAUUUGAAACUAUUCAGCUUGAGUAAGGGAGAGGAAAGUGGAAUUCCUGGUGUAGAGGUGAAAUUCGUAGAUAUCAGGAGGAACACCGGUGGCGAAGGCGACUUUCUGGCCCUAUACUGACGCUGAGACGCGAGAGCGUGGGUAGCAAACAGGAUUAGAUACCCUGGUAGUCCACGCUGUAAACGAUGUUCACUAGGUGUUGGGGGUAUUGACCCUCUCAGUGCCGCAGCUAACGCAUUAAGUGAACCGCCUGGGGAGUACGGUCGCAAGAUUAAAACUCAA